GCAGGACUCAAAGGAACAGACAGGAAAAUCUCAGCAGCCAUCUCACCCCUACCAGAGCCUCUCACAGUCAACUGAAGAGGGGUGUGAUUCUGGCAGAGAGACAGACGGAUGCUUGCUACCAUGGAGACGGACUAAGACGACACAACCCUCAACAGACAAGCAGGUCACACCUCAGGAGAGCUGAGAGGUCCAGAACCUCCAGAACCACCAAGACGGGUCCGAAUUGGGCUAUCAGAUCCCACACAGAAGCUGAUUCUGGUCUGGGUCGUGCCCAUAUUUGACCUGGAUCUGCACGUGCGAUGGAUUGGACAACUGGACAAAGAAUAAUACCCAGAACUGAUGGACUGGACAACUGGACAAUGAAUGGUAUGCAUGGACAUAGGAUUUGGCAAUUGGACAAUAAAUGGUAUUCAUGGACAUAGGUCCGGACAGUGAACAGCACCUCACAGGAGUGGAGCUAACCCAGAUGGGGUGCACACCCACCCCAGAGCACGGCGGAAUCUACCCCAGGCUUGGCAGAAUCUACCCCAGGCUUGGCAGAAUCUACCCCAGGCUUGGCAGAAUCUACCCCAGGCUUGGCUGCUGGACGGGAGACGCAUGUGCCCCUGAGGGACUGGGUUUAUGACAACAAACCUGCAUGUGAUCGGGUGGAAACUCGGCCAGUGUUGGGUAUCCCUAAUCUCAGGACAACAGUGCAGUCUUCAGUGAGAGGUGAGAGUUAUUAUGCAGGUUUGGAGGGGGAGAUUUAUCUUUACCAAGGUGCUAUUGCUGUUCAUGCAUUAUCAUGUGUCUGAGUGCGUUAUAAAACAAUAAGUGUGGAAGAUGUUGUUCAAACAUGUGUCAUGUUUUUGAAAGACUAUUGUAAAACUAUAUCUGAGGAAGACUGAUGAUUGCUCCAAAUGCAAGGAUGUGUUAUGACAUGUCAGACUCUUUUACUUUAAUCAUUGGCACAAAUCCUGCAGCGGCAUUUCCAGCCUGCUUCAUUAUGAUGUGACUGUUUCUCAUGUUAAAAGCCAAUUAUGCGUUCACUGUGAGGGGGGGACCCAUCUCAGCUGUCUUGAAAUGUAUCUUACAGAUUUAUUCUACCUAUUGCAGCAUUUAGCCUACCUGCCAGAAUGUCUUUACACUAGCAUUGGCUGAGUGUCAUUUACUGUGCCUGCCUUUUUGGGCAUGACUGGUGGAACUUAAUAAUAAUAAUAAUAAUAAUAAUAAUAAUAAUAAUAAAAUAUAUAUAUAUUUAAUAAUAAAAAAUUCAAGUUUCAAACUUUCUAGUUAUAUUUAUAUUUCUAGGUCUUGAGGAGUUGGAAUUAUAGAUAUUUUACAUUCUUUUAAAGGUUACAAAGUGCUUAUUAAAAAAAAUAAACACACAAUGGUCCAGGCAGUUCUCACCAUUGACUGUUUAUUCCAUAAAAUCACAUUAAACAAAACUGUGCUGGACAAUCCUGCUAAAUACA